GCGGAUGUGGUGUAAUUGGCAACAUGGUGUCCUUCCAAGUCACUGUUCAGGGUUCGAGUCCCUGCAUCCGCACCA
rnacentral:tRNA from 1 species